GCCGGGAUAGCUCAGUUGGUAGAGCACCGAACCGAUAAUUCGGGGGUCGGAGGUUCGAAGCCUUCUCUCGGUA
rnacentral:tRNA from 1 species